UUGGAGGGCAAGUCUGGUGCCAGCAGCCGCGGUAAUUCCAGCUCCAAUAGCGUAUAUUAAAGUUGUUGCAGUUAAAAAGCUCGUAGUUGAAUUUCGGGAUCAAUUUAUCGGUCGUGCCUCCGGUAUGCACUGGUAUUAUUGAUUUCUACCUUCUGACGAACUAUGAUGUCAUUAAUUUGGUGUCAUGGGGAAUCAGGACUGUUACUUUGAAAAAAUUAGAGUGUUUAAAGCAGGCACACGCUUGAAUACAUUAGCAUGGAAUAAUGAAAUAGGACGUUUGACCCCAUUUUGUUGGUUUCUAGGAUCGACGUAAUGAUUAAUAGGGAUAGUUGGGGGCAUUAGUAUUCAAUUGUCAGAGGUGAAAUUCUUGGACUUAUUGAAGACUAACUACUGCGAAAGCAUUUGCCAAGGAUGUUUUCAUUAAUCAAGAACGAAAGUUAGGGGAUCGAAGACGAUCAGAUACCGUCGUAGUCUUAACCAUAAACUAUGCCGACUAGGGAUCGGAUGAUGUUAAUUUUUUAAUGACUCAUUCGGCGCCUUACGGGAAAC
rnacentral:rRNA from 1 species